rnacentral:lncRNA from 1 species
GCGGUACCAUGCUCUAGUGCCCGCGUCAGCUCUGCCGCCCACGGCGACGGUCUGCCUCAGCCAGGCUGGUUUUGAUCGAUUUUGGCUGAUUUUAACUGGUUUUACACGUAUCCCUAUGGACAAACAUGUUAGGGAGCCUCAGUUAGCUGAAAAAUCACUAAAAACACUAAAUCUACCGGCCGGGGGGUCACCAGAUACGGCGGCUUUGCCGGUCAUUCUUCACGGCUGGGGUUCCUUUUUCAGCUAAUCUGCAUAGAAAAGGACGGUGAACACGAUGAUCAAAAAACUGCGUGAAAUGAGAAUCGGAAAGGAGCUCAUGAGAGGGAUUUUACGAUUUUGAUCGUAAUGGCUUUGCCGGGUUUUACCUAUAGUUUUCGACUCACUCAAAGACUCUUUUGCUCCGAUUUGGCCACAUAGAUGCUAGAAAUCGAAUUCCUAACGGGUAUGAGAAAUUUUUACCUUUUUGACGGCCGAUAGUGGCUCUAGUGCGGCAGCGAUAGGCGGUUGGCUUCCUUCUCAAUUGUUUGGUUCUUCUUCUCCGGCGGGGCCUAGUGGAUAGGGUUUGGGUUCCCAUGCGACACGAAAUAUUUAUACAUAUCCCGCGUUAAUUUGGACCGUCUAUCGCGAUUAAUCUCGUCCGUCCGAUCGUGCCUAAUGAGAAAACGAAUCUUAAUCGUCCAUUGUGAUUAAUCUCGCUCGUCUGAUCACGCCUAAUAGAGAAAUGAAUCUGGGUCGUCCAGGCGCGUAUGAUUGGUCCUGGCUCGUCCAAUCACGAGGCAUGCGGAUCGCCUGCGUGGCCUCCUGUAUGGCACCGAUGUCAGCAUGCCUUGUCACGCGAUGUGCUUUGGUUCGUGGGGACUAGUGACUGGGCAGUCCUACAUGUCAGAACUUUUUAUAUUUGCACUUUAGCUUUC